rnacentral:rRNA from 1 species
UACGGAGGGUGCAAGCGUUGUUCGGAAUCACUGGGCGUAAAGGGCGUGUAGGCGGUCCGCUAAGUCUGAUGUGAAAGCCCGGGGCUCACCCCCGGAAGGGCAUUGGAAACUGGCGGACUCGAGUCUCGGAGAGGAAGGUGGAAUUCCUGGUGGUAGCGGUGAAAUGCGUAGAUAUCAGGAGGAAUACCGGUGGCGAAGGCGGCCUUCUGGACGAUGACUGACGCUGGAGACGCGAAAGCGUGGGGAGCGAACAGGAUUAGAACUACC